rnacentral:rRNA from 1 species
ACAGCAGUCGCCGCGGGAAUACGAAGGGGGCUAGCGUUGCUCGGAAUUACUGGGCGUAAAGGGAGCGUAGGCGGAUCGUUAAGUUGGGGGUGAAAGCCCGGGGCUCAACCUCGGAACUGCCUUCAAUACUGGCGAUCUUGAGUAUGAGAGAGGUGUGUGGAACUCCGAGUGUAGAGGUGAAAUUCGUAGAUAUUCGGAAGAACACCAGUGGCGAAGGCGGCUCACUGGCUCAUUCUAGACGCUGAGGUGCGAAAGCGUGGGGAGCAAACAGGAUUAGAUACCCCCGUAGUCCCUGUCUCUUAUAC